GAUAAAAGUAAAUUGAGUUGUCAAAAAAAAUUCUAAGUUCAAACUUAGGUUAGAAAUUUUUAGGUUAAAUUGACGUAGAUUCGACAACGCUUCGCUCUAGCCAAAAUUGAGCUCUCCCGGUGUCAAAUUUGCGCGGCCUUAUAUACCCUUUUUGGACAAAGGCUUCUUGGAUAUCCGAAUUUGGUCGCUUCAAUUUGAAUCUGGGCUCUCUGAUUGGUUGAUAAAAUGGCGGGAAUUAUAAAUUACACAGAUAAUCGCGCUUUCGGGUGUCAAAUUCCUUCGAGGAAUUCGUAAUUUGAUGUUAAAGUUUGGAAAGAAAAAAAUGGAAUUUAGAUAUAUAAAAUGAUUCAGAAAUGGAUGAAAUUGCGGCCUAAGGGCUAAAUCGACACGAUCUAUCGAUCUCGCAUGGUUUUAGAAUCGAAAAUCGUCUGAAAAGUCGCCAAAAUCAAUACCUGUCAAAAUGUAAAUGUCAAGGUCAAAAUUUGAAGGUUAAUUACCUUUUUCUUGCACAUCGUAAUAAUUUUUCUUAAAACUAAACGAAAAUCAUAACAAAACUAACUACUUAUAGUCUGAUCCAAAAUUGUAAAUUUCUUAAAUUUAAUUAGUCUUUUUUUUUCCGUUUAUUCGGAAACAGGGAUUUUAUUACAGUAUCUUUUAUAUCCUAUAUAAUAAAAUAAUAAUAAAAAGAACUGUAGAUACAAAAAUUGGCAUCAUCUACACAAAUUAGAUCUUAAUUAUAAAAACAUAGUAUAUAUAUCAUGUGAUAUGAAGCGUUAUAAUUACAAAAAAAAUCUACAUAAAUAUAAUUCAACUGUAAUUUGGAAAGUC
rnacentral:lncRNA from 1 species